CACGUGGAUAACCUACCUAUAAGACUGGGAAACUUCGGGAAACCGGAGCUAAUACCGGAUAAGAUUUUGAACCGCAUGGUUCAAUAGUGAAAGACGGCCUUGCUGUCACUUAUAGAUGGAUCCGCGCCGUAUUAGCUAGUUGGUAAGGUAACGGCUUACCAAGGCAACGAUACGUAGCCGACCUGAGAGGGUGAUCGGCCACACUGGAACUGAGACACGGUCCAGACUCCUACGGGAGGCAGCAGUAGGGAAUCUUCCGCAAUGGGCGAAAGCCUGACGGAGCAACGCCGCGUGAGUGAUGAAGGUCUUCGGAUCGUAAAACUCUGUUAUCAGGGAAGACAAACGUGUAAGUAACUGUGCACGUCUUGACGGUACCUGAUCAGAAAGCCACGGCUAACUACGUGCCAGCAGCCGCGGUAAUACGUAGGUGGCAAGCGUUAUCCGGAAUUAUUGGGCGUAAAGCGCGCGUAGGCGG
rnacentral:rRNA from 1 species